CCUACGGGGGGCAGCAGUGGGGAAUAUUGGACAAUGGGCGCAAGCCUGAUCCAGCCAUGCCGCGUGAGUGAUGAAGGCCCUAGGGUUGUAAAGCUCUUUUGUGCGGGAAGAUAAUGACGGUACCGCAAGAAUAAGCCCCGGCUAACUUCGUGCCAGCAGCCGCGGUAAUACGAAGGGGGCUAGCGUUGCUCGGAAUCACUGGGCGUAAAGGGUGCGUAGGCGGGUUUUUAAGUCAGGGGUGAAAUCCUGGAGCUCAACUCCAGAACUGCCUUUGAUACUGAAGAUCUUGAGUCCGGGAGAGGUGAGUGGAACUGCGAGUGUAGAGGUGAAAUUCGUAGAUAUUCGCAAGAACACCAGUGGCGAAGGCGGCUCACUGGCCCGGUACUGACGCUGAGGCACGAAAGCGUGGGGAGCAAACAGGAUUAGAUACCCUAGUAGUC
rnacentral:rRNA from 1 species